CCUACGGGAGGCAGCAGUGGGGAAUAUUGGGCAAUGGGCGCAAGCCUGACCCAGCAACGCCGCGUGAAGGCAGAAGGCUUUCGGGUUGUAAACUUCUUUUGUCAGGGAAGAGUAGAAGACGGUACCUGACGAAUAAGCCACGGCUAACUACGUGCCAGCAGCCGCGGUAAUACGUAGGUGGCAAGCGUUGUCCGGAUUUACUGGGUGUAAAGGGCGUGUAGCCGGGUUGACAAGUCAGAUGUGAAAUCCUGCGGCUUAACCGCAGAACUGCAUUUGAAACUGUUGAUCUUGAGUACUGGAGAGGCAGAUGGAAGUCCUAGUGUAGCGGUGAAAUGCGUAGAUAUUAGGAGGAACACCAGUGGCGAAGGUGGUCUGCUGGACAGCAACUGACGGUGAGGCGCGAAAGCGUGGGGAGCAAACAGGAUUAGAUACCCCAGUAGUC
rnacentral:rRNA from 1 species